UGCCAACUCCUAAUCUUUCCCUUUCUCAUUCUUUGCUCUCCCGUUCCUCUCCUGCAGUGCUGGAGUGUGUCAGGAGGCGGGGCCGAACUCACUCGGAGGCGGAGACUCAUCCCCUCACCUGAGCCACAUCAUUUUGAUUCAGAGCCGAGGAUGAGACUCGUCAUUUUCAAGACCAGAACCUGAAUUUCAUCAUAGAAUUCUCCAGCCGCAAAGUGUCGCAGGGUGGUGAUUCAUGAAUGCAUUGAUCAGCAGGUUAGUAACGUCUGAGCACAGACUUUGUGUGAUUCUCCCAAAGAGGUGAGUCACGCCAUCCCAUCUGUUACCAUCUGUGUCACCAUCACAGUUUGUCACGAUUUUUAUUUUUUUAUUUUUGUCAACGCCAGUCACUCAAUCCCUCACUGUGAGGAGGCGGAUGAAAACACGGACUCAGCAGUCCACGGCUUGAACAUAUUGGUUAAUUAACAAGCCCAGCAUACAGUAGUUGACAGGUAUGCACCAUAUGUGAGACAACUGCAAGACUGCAAACUGAACCCGAGCUCUAGUGAUUUCUCGUGGAACCAUCUGGACUUGGAAAGUUGAGUCUCUAUGACAGGUCAAGGCCCCCUGACCUCUUGUCCGGCAAGGGAGAAGCUAUCGAGUGGAUACAGUAUGUGAGCCACAAAUGAAAACCAAAACCCUAGGACAGCUUCGGCGCCGCCUGCAAGUUUCACAAAAUGAUUUUGACAAUGUACUUGACAAUGGCUUCAAAUGUCCUCCUUACAAGCCAAAAGGCUCAUGUUGAAAUGAAUUGCAGUCAAACGCAAUUCGUUCCAUGGAAAUUCUUUACCAUCGGAAAUAAUUCAAACACAAAUAAGUUUUGUCCUCACGUGGCUUUUCUCUGCUUAACCCUUCCAUGCACCCUGUGACCUGGUACCAUGAUAAGCUGUCCACUGUCAUAACCGCUGUCCCUCAAAGGGUUAAAUGCUUCAUAAU